rnacentral:rRNA from 1 species
CCUACGGGGGGCAGCAGUGAGGAAUAUUGGUCAAUGGUCGGGAGACUGAACCAGCCAAGCCGCGUGAGGGAUGAAGGUACAGAGUAUCGUAAACCUCUUUUGUCAGGGAACAAAGGCGGGGACGUGUCCCCGGAGGAGUGUACCUGAAGAAAAAGCAUCGGCUAACUCCGUGCCAGCAGCCGCGGUAAUACGGAGGAUGCGAGCGUUAUCCGGAUUUAUUGGGUUUAAAGGGUGCGCAGGCGGUCUGUUAAGUCAGCGGUCAAAGCCCGGGGCUCAACCCCGGCCCGCCGUUGAAACUGGCAGUCUCGAGUUGGAGAGAAGUAUGCGGAAUGCGCGGUGUAGCGGUGAAAUGCAUAGAUAUCGCGCAGAACUCCGAUUGCGAAGGCAGCAUGCCGGCUCCACACUGACGCUGAGGCACGAAAGCGUGGGUAUCGAACAGGAUUAGAUACCCGUGUAGUC